AAUAAUGAUCCGUUUUCUAAAUAGAGCUUUUAACUGAUAUCUUAUGAACAAAUGCAAAAUUAUAAUUUUUAGGACUUUUUAGUCUUUGGUAGACAUGUAGGUAGCAUUAAAUUUUCUAAGAUCUAUACAAAGGGGAGAUAAAUUUCAAUUAUAUUGCAAUAAAAAAUAAGACUCUAAUAUCCAUUGAGAAAUUGUAGUAUCAGUAGGUUUUCUUCAUUUGUUUCAUUUUCUUUUCUUCUAAUCCAAAAAAUACUCGCUAUUAUAUGUUGUAUCAUUUCAUCUGUGGAGAUUUUCAUUUUUCAUGUGAUAUUUAGUAGCUGAGUAUUAAUGAUAGGUUGUUGUCAUCUGCAUUUACUGAUCACUAUAGUUAUAACCUCUGAAUCCAUUGAUAGUUUACUUAUUACUUAUUGUUGAUUAAGGUGGUACCCAACACCUUAACCAAAAUUAAUUUGGCUCGUUUAAUUUUCUUAAAAUUUUGACAAAGUAUUUACUUUGACACUUUAAC
rnacentral:lncRNA from 1 species